rnacentral:rRNA from 1 species
GCCUACGGGGGGCAGCAGUGGGGAAUAUUGGGCAAUGGGCGCAAGCCUGACCCAGCAACGCCGCGUGAAGGAAGAAGGCUUUCGGGUUGUAAACUUCUUUUAAGGGGGAAGAGAAGAAGACGGUACCUCUUGAAUAAGCCACGGCUAACUACGUGCCAGCAGCCGCGGUAAUACGUAGGUGGCAAGCGUUGUCCGGAUUUACUGGGUGUAAAGGGCGUGCAGCCGGGCUGAAAAGUGAGAGGUGAAAUCCGGCGGCUCAACCGCGGAACUGCAUUGGAAACGGUCAGUCUUG